rnacentral:rRNA from 1 species
AGCAUAUCAAUAAGCGGAGGAAAAGAAACCAACAGGGAUUGCCCUAGUAACGGCGAGUGAAGCGGCAACAGCUCAAAUUUGAAAUCUGGCUCUUUUAGGGUCCGAGUUGUAAUUUGCAGAGGGCGCUUUGGCUUUGGCAGCGGUCCAAGUUCCUUGGAACAGGACGUCACAGAGGGUGAGAAUCCCGUACGUGGUCGCUAGCUAUUGCCGUGUAAAGCCCCUUCGACGAGUCGAGUUGUUUGGGAAUGCAGCUCUAAAUGGGAGGUAAAUUUCUUCUAAAGCUAAAUAUUGGCCAGAGACCGAUAGCGCACAAGUAGAGUGAUCGAAAGAUGAAAAGCACUUUGGAAAGAGAGUCAAACAGCACGUGAAAUUGUUGAAAGGGAAGCGCUUGCAGCCAGACUUGCUUGCAGUUGCUCAUCCGGGCUUUUGCCCGGUGCACUCUUCUGUAGGCAGGCCAGCAUCAGUUUGGGCGGUGGGAUAAAGGUCUCUGUCACGUACCUCUCUUCGGGGAGGCCUUAUAGGGGAGACGACAUACCACCAGCCUAGACUGAGGUCCGCGCAUCUGCUAGGAUGCUGGCGUAAUGGCUGUAAGCGGCCCGUCUUGAAACACGGACCAAGGAGUCUAACAUCUAUGCGAGUGUUUGGGUGUCAAGCCCGAGCGCGUAAUGAAAGUGAACGGAGGUGGGAACCCGCAAGGGUGCACCAUCGACCGAUCCUGAAGUUUUCGGAAGGAUUUGAGUAAGAGCAUGGCUGUUGGGACCCGAAAGAUGGUGAACUAUGCUUGAAUAGGGUGAAGCCAGAGGAAACUCUGGUGGAGGCUCGCAGCGGUUCUGACGUGCAAAUCGAUCGUCAAAUUUGGGCAUAGGGGCGAAAGACUAAUCGAACUAUCUAGUAGCUGG